AAAUUGAAGAGUUUGAUCAUGGCUCAGAUUGAACGCUGGCGGCAGGCCUAACACAUGCAAGUCGAACGGUAACAGGAAGCGCUUGCUGCUUCGCUGACGAGUGGCGGACGGGUGAGUAAUGUCUGGGAAACUGCCUGAUGGAGGGGGAUAACUACUGGAAACGGUAGCUAAUACCGCAUAACGUCGCAAGACCAAAGAGGGGGACCUUCGGGCCUCUUGCCAUCGGAUGUGCCCAGAUGGGAUUAGCUUGUU
rnacentral:rRNA from 1 species